rnacentral:rRNA from 1 species
CCUACGGGAGGCAGCAGUGGGGAAUAUUGGACAAUGGGGGGAACCCUGAUCCAGCCAUGCCGCGUGUGUGAAGAAGGCCCUCGGGUUGUAAAGCACUUUCAGUGAGGAAGAACGCCUGGUGGUUAAUACCCAUCAGGAAAGACAUCACUCACAGAAGAAGCACCGGCUAACUCCGUGCCAGCAGCCGCGGUAAUACGGAGGGUGCGAGCGUUAAUCGGAAUUACUGGGCGUAAAGCGCGCGUAGGUGGCUUGAUAAGCCGGUUGUGAAAGCCCCGGGCUCAACCUGGGAACGGCAUCCGGAACUGUCAAGCUAGAGUGCAGGAGAGGAAGGUAGAAUUCCCGGUGUAGCGGUGAAAUGCGUAGAGAUCGGGAGGAAUACCAGUGGCGAAGGCGGCCUUCUGGACUGACACUGACACUGAGGUGCGAAAGCGUGGGUGGCAAACAGGAUUAGAUACCCUGGUAGUC